CCUACGGGUGGCAGCAGUGGGGAAUAUUGGACAAUGGGGGGAACCCUGAUCCAGCGACGCCGCGUGAGUGAAGAAGUAUUUCGGUAUGUAAAGCUCUAUCAGCAGGGAAGAAAGAAAUGACGGUACCUGACUAAGAAGCCCCGGCUAACUACGUGCCAGCAGCCGCGGUAAUACGUAGGGGGCAAGCGUUAUCCGGAUUUACUGGGUGUAAAGGGAGCGUGGACGGCGAUGCAAGUCUGAAGUGAAAGGCGGGGGCCCAACCCCCGGACUGCUUUGGAAACUGUAUGGCUGGAGUGCAGGAGAGGUAAGUGGAAUUCCUAGUGUAGCGGUGAAAUGCGUAGAUAUUAGGAGGAACUCCGAUUGCGAAGGCAGCAUACCGGCGGCGAUCUGACGCUGAGGCACGAAAGCGUGGGUAUCGAACAGGAUUAGAUACCCUUGUAGUC
rnacentral:rRNA from 1 species